rnacentral:lncRNA from 1 species
UUCGGAAAAGCUAAAGUUAUCCAAAACACAAAAAGUGCAUUGGAGUUGAGUCCGCAAGAGCAUAUAGUGCAAAACCUGCACUGGGCUGAAGUUGUUCUCGGGGACCGGUCCCUGGCAGGGAGAGACCGGUCCCCGAGGCUGGUGGUUGCUGGGGAUCUUUGAUGCAACCGGUCCCUGGCUGAGGGGACCGGUCCCCGUGUGCGACGCCAGCGAGAGAAGGCCAAAAUUGGCUAAGUCCUGAAAAUAAAGCUCUCGGGGACCGGUCUCUCAGGCGGGACCGGUCUCCCAGGAAGAGACCGGUUCCCGAACGCGAAGAGGCCUUCUGGCCGCCAGGACUGCUCUCGCGGACCGGUCUCUCCGACGAGGGACCGGUCCCUCUGGGCGCAGAAUGCCCAGUGAGGGCUGUGUACAGGGUGAAAAGUUGAGGGGCUAAAAUAGAUUUUGUUACAAUAGAGGGGUAUGUAGGCCCUCUCUCUCUCCCUCAGCCUCUCAUUCUCUCUCUCUCACACACUCUCUCUUGCUCCCUCUCUCUCUCUAGAGAAGAAAGAACAAAAGAGAAGGAGAAGAGGAAGAGAAGAAGAAGAAGGAGGAGAUGAAGCUAGAGAAGGCUUGGAGCAUCUUCCUCUCUUCCUCUCCUCUCCAUUGGUGUAGCUCAAGAGGUAAGCUACAAACCCUAGCUUGUAGAACUUAGGAUUUUUGGGUUUUGAGCUUUGAGAUAAGGUCAAAUGGACUUCUAGCACCAUUGUUGGUGGAUUAGAGCUAGAGGCUAGGGUUUCAUGGUGCAAAUGGCAUGAUGCUAACCCUAGGGCACCCAAAAUGAGAUUUUUGGAAAUAGAUGAGAUUGAUCUCAUUUG